rnacentral:misc_RNA from 1 species
UCUCAUGGAAGGUUGCCCCUAU